AUUUGAUUAUGGCAAAACCGUGAGAAAUCCGGCGACGCAAAGCUAUAGGGUCUUCGCUAUUACGAAAUAGGAUGACAGCCAGUUGCGAAU
rnacentral:ncRNA from 1 species